AUUCCUACGGGAGGCAGCAGUGGGGAAUCUUGGACAAUGGGCGCAAGCCUGAUCCAGCCAUGCCGCGUGAGUGAUGAAGGCCUUAGGGUCGUAAAGCUCUUUCGCUGGGGAUGAUAAUGACAGUACCCAGUAAAGAAACCCCGGCUAACUCCGUGCCAGCAGCCGCGGUAAUACGGAGGGGGUUAGCGUUGUUCGGAAUUACUGGGCGUAAAGCGCGCGUAGGCGGAUUGGAAAGUUGGGGGUGAAAUCCCGGGGCUCAACCUCGGAACUGCCUCCAAAACUAUCAGUCUAGAGUUCGAGAGAGGUGAGUGGAAUUCCGAGUGUAGAGGUGAAAUUCGUAGAUAUUCGGAGGAACACCAGUGGCGAAGGCGGCUCACUGGCUCGAUACUGACGCUGAGGUGCGAAAGUGUGGGGAGCAAACAGGAUUAGAUACCCUGGUAGUCCACACCGUAAACGAUGAAUGCCAGUCGUCAGCAAGCAUGCUUGUUGGUGACACACCUAACGGAUUAAGCAUUCCGCCUGGGGAGUACGGUCGCAAGAUUAAAACUCAAAGGAAUUGACGGAAU
rnacentral:rRNA from 1 species